rnacentral:rRNA from 1 species
UACAGAGGGGGCGAGCGUUGUUCGGAAUUACUGGGCGUAAAGCGUGCGCAGGCGGUUUUGUAAGUCUGUCGUGAAAUCCCCCGGGCUCAACCUGGGAAGUUGCGAUGGAGACUGCAAGGCUAGAAUCUGGCAGAGGGGGGUAGAAUUCCACGUGUAGCAGUGAAAUGCGUAGAGAUGUGGAGGAACACCGAUGGCGAAGGCAGCCCCCCUGGGUCAAGAUUGACGCUCAUGCACGAAAGCGUGGGGAGCAAACAGG